rnacentral:rRNA from 1 species
GACGAACGCUGGCGGCGUGCCUAAUACAUGCAAGUAGGACGCAGUUGCGAACGGGUGAGUAACGCGUAGGUAACUACCUAUUAGAGGGGGAUAACUAUUGGAAACGAUAGCUAAUACCGCAUACUAGUAGAUGGAGCUGCGUUGUAUUAGCUAGUAGGUAGGGUAAUGGCCUACCUAGGCAACGAGACAUAGCCGACCUGAAGGGGUGGUCGGGCAAACUGGGACUGGGGAACGGCCCCAGCUCCUUAGGGAGGCAGCAGUAGGGAAUCUUCGGCAAUGGGGGGAACCCUGACCGAGCAACGCCGCGGGAGUGAAGGAGGUUUUCGGAUCGUAAAGCUCUGUUGUUAAGGAAGCGGUACUUAACCAGAAAGGGACGGCUAACUACGUGCCAGCAGCCGCGGUAAUUC